rnacentral:rRNA from 1 species
GACGAACGCUGGCGGCGUGCUUAACACAUGCAAGUCGAACGGAAAGGCCCUGCUUUUGUGGGGUGCUCGAGUGGCGAACGGGUGAGUAACACGUGAAUAACCUGCCCUUGACUUUGGGAUAACUUCAGGAAACUGGGGCUAAUACCGGAUAGGAGCUCCUGCUGCAUGGUGGGGGUUGGAAAGUUUCGGCGGUUGGGGAUGGACUCGCGGCUUAUCAGCUUGUUGGUGGGGUAGUGGCUUACCAAGGCUUUGACGGGUAGCCGGCCUGAGAGGGUGACCGGCCACAUUGGGACUGAGAUACGGCCCAGACUCCUACGGGAGGCAGCAGUGGGGAAUAUUGCACAAUGGGCGGAAGCCUGAUGCAGCAACGCCGCGUGCGGGAUGACGGUCUUCGGGUUGUAAACCGCUUUCGCCUGUGACGAAGCGUGAGUGACGGUAAUGGGUAAAGAAGCACCGGCUAACUACGUG